rnacentral:rRNA from 1 species
UUCGCCCUUUUCCGGUUGAUCCUGCCGGAAGUUACUGCUAUCGGUGUUCGACUAAGCCAUGCGAGUCAAAUGUUCUUCGUGAACAUGGCGGACUGCUCAGUAACACGUGGAUAACCUGCCCUUAGGUUCGGCAUAACUCCGGGAAACUGGAGAUAAUUCCGAAUAGGUCAAAUAUGCUGGAAUGCUUUUUGGCCAAAAGACCUCGGUUGCCUAAGGAUGGAUCUGCGGUCUAUCAGGUUGUAGUGGGUGUAACGUACCUACUAGCCUACGACGGAUAUGGGUUGUGAGAGCAAGAGCCCAGAGAUGGAUUCUGAGACAUGAAUCCAGGCCCUACGGGGCGCAGCAGGCGCGAAAACUUUACAAUGCGGGAAACCGCGAUAAGGGGACACCGAGUGCCAGCAUUUAUGUUGGCUGUCCACAUGUGUAAACGGCAUGUGUUAGCAAGGGCCGGGCAAGACCGGUGCCAGCCGCCGCGGUAACACCGGCGGCCCGAGUGGUAAUCACUUUUAUUGGGUCUAAAGGGUCCGUAGCCGGUUUGAUCAGUUCUUCGGGAAAUCUGACAGCUCAACUGUUAGGCUUCCGGGGAAUACUGUCAGACUUGGGACCGGGAGAGGUAAGAGGUACUACAGGGGUAGGAGUGAAAUCUUGUAAUCCCUGUGGGACCACCAGUGGCGAAGGCGUCUUACCAGAACGGGUCCGAC